UUGAUAUUCCAGUUGUGAAGAGCUGUGACAAUCUGAGAUCGGAGUCAUGCGUCCUGUUGUGGUAACUGUCGUCCUGCUGGUGGUCCUGAUGUUCAUGACGGACUCUGCAGUCGCAGGAGAAAAAGAGAAGAAAAAUUGCCAGAACUAUUUCCCACUUGUACCAUGUGGUUCUGGAUGGUACCGGAUGGACGGAAGUCGCUGUAUGAAGAGAGCUCCGACCGCAGAAACGUUUGACGAUGCACAGAUGUUCUGCAAAAACAAAAGUGGUGAUUUGGUGUCAUUCAGGGGAAGAGACGACCUUAUCCAAAUGCUGUGUCUGUUGGUCAUGGAAAACAAUGACAAGGUUCCUCACUGGCUCGGAGCCAGAAAACAAGGGGGUGAAUUUCAGUGGGCUGAUGGACGUGGACCAUUGAUCUUCGGAGGCCAACACAACCUCCUGAAUGACCAGGCUGAGGACUGUGCAGCAAUCAACAUCGGUGGUCCCUGGAAAGGUACAUCAUGUUCAGCAACAAGGAACUUUGUGUGCCAAAAGACUAUGUGAUCGUCAUCUCCAGAUGAUGAACCAGCCUGCUUCACUGUAACCUCUGUGAAUGCAACCUUUAAUAUUGUUUGUAAUAAAUGUUCAGCAUCAGAAAACAUUUGAUUUGGUUUUUUUAUUUGUUUGUGUCCAGCAGAAUGACAGUUGUAGCCAUUGUACACGUACUGCAGACUGAGCCUGACAUACAGUAUAAUUACCUGAUUAGUUUCAUCUGGUUUCAUAGAUACAUACAGCUGGGUGUCGUCUGCAUAGCAAAGUAAAUCCAUGUGGUGCUUUCAGCUUUGGUUAGUUUUAUAAUGUCUCUAAUAACAGCAGGACAGAGACGACAGAACUGUGUUUAGUGUAGAUAUUGAUAAAGCAGAGGAACCAAGUCCUGCUGAAUUUAGGUAAAUUGUCAUUGUCUGUACUUUCUAUCCUGUUGUAAGAAACAGAGAUUUAACCGUGGUCCAUAAACUCUACACAUUCACCUAGCUGCUGAUAAAAUUCCCAAUUCAUAAUCCUGAUGUAAUGUGACAAAAUCAACAGAAACCUGGUUAAUAACAGCAGCUCUGCUGUGUGUUUGGAUAUAAUGACAUUUAAAAUGAAUGAUCACAGUGAUAGUUUAAGGUUGUUGGACAUUGUUCAGUUCAAUUCAAUUUAAUUUUAUUUGUAUAGCGCCAAAUCACAAGAUAUAUUUUCUCAAGGCACUUUACAAAGUGAGUUAUAUUACAGUUACAAUAUUACAGAGAAAACAAAACAAAUCCAAGUUAAAUGUCAGUUGUCCUCGUACAAACUGAAACACUGAGCUGGAGCUUUAACAUCUUCACAAUCUGGAGGUCGUUUUCACUGUUCACAGUUUGAUUCUGGCUCCGAUCCCGUGUUUGAUUGGAUGGCAACUAGACACAUCAAUUUGUCAGAGUCCACUUUUAUAUCUGUUCAUGACAUUUUCUGGAGGGGUGGGGCUUGACACAAAGUUGGUUGCAGUUUGCAACUUUACCACCAGAGGCCGCCAGAAAAAAAUACAAUAUUUACACACUUGCGCUUUAACUGAUAUGGAAAAUGUGAUUUUUUUUUUUUUAAGACAGUUUAAAAAAUGAAGCUAAACUAAACAUGACUUAAACUUAGUAGUUUAUUUUUAUCAGGCUUGUAUUAUCACAUCAAUUAAAUUUUUUUAAACAAUUGUGGCAUUUCAUGACUGGGUCUGACCCUAGGAUCAACUCAUUUUAUUUAUAUUAAAUAUAGCACUGAAUCAUAACCUCAGAGCCCAGAGAUCUACAACAAGAGCAACUUCACAAAAUAUUAGUAAAAAAGUCAUAAAUGUCCAAAAAGUCAAACAGCAAGCUUUGCUUGGGAAGUUUCCUAAAUCUUGAAAUGACCCGGAAGUAUUUCCUCAGCACCAUGAUAAGAGCUGUUCGCAUAAUCUAAAUGCUUAGGAAAGGUGCUUCAAUGCUUCCUUUCCUAUCUCCUUUAGCAUAGGGUAUAUUGGAGCUUCCUACUACGUGACGCGCCAUGCACGAAUGUAAACGAUUAAAUCCGAAGUAGUAGAAGAAGAAGAGGAGUAUGAAUAUGACCCAUAAGAGACGUCAUCAUGGUAUUUACUGUUACGUAUGAAUCAUUUACAUCUGAUGUCACAAGGUGGUAAAACAGUAUAACAUGCUGAUGGAGUCGCUGAGUUUUUUUUUCAGAAAUGUGUAGUUUCACCACGGCAGAACCAUCAACAACAUCCACCUUCACAUAAUGAUGUAGUUUAGUGUCAGUGGAGUCGCAUUCUCUGAGCAGCGCUGUCGGCUUUUUCUAAGUCCCAUGAAUCCUCCUUUACACCUUUCCUUGACCUCAUGACGUUUUCCAUUGAGGACAAGGAAUAGUGGAUCCUUCUAGGUCAUUUCACUCAGUCAGGAAUCUUCCAAAGCAAAUUUGACAAUUUGACCACAACCUAGGUUUUGUAAAGUCUCAGGGCGACACGGUGGUGCAGUUCUUUGCGCUGUCGCCUAAAGGAAGAAGGUUCUCGGUCUCAAAACACUGUUUGAACCACCCAGUGUGGAGUAUGCCAGUUCACCGAGUGUCUGCUGGGGGUUCUCUCCUCGGGUUCUCCGGCUUCCUCCCACAGUCCAGACACAUGCAGAUUGGGGUAUUAGGUUGAUUGGAGACUCUAAAUUGACCAUAGGUUGGUUGUCUCUGAAUGUCGGCCCUGUGAUAGGUUUGGCGAGCUGUCCAGGGCGAACAACGCCUCUCGACCGUUGAAGGAUGAAGCCAUAUAGAUGAUGGAUGGAUGAAAAGCAUCAGAGCUGUUGGCAGAUUCCAUCUCCUCUGUUGCUGCUGAUGUUACAGGCAGUUUUCAUUGACGGGGCAAACUCCUGAGAUCUCAAUCAUUACAUACAAAAUGAACGUGGUGUGAUUCAAGGUAUAACUCAGGGGAUUUUUUUAUCAAUAACAAUAUUCGUUCUUUUUUGAUUUCAUGUGUGAAAGUUGGAAAAUAAUUAUCAUGGACAGAAAUUCCACAGAUACUUAACGCCUGUUUACCGGAGAGACAGUUGAAUCAACUUUGAGGAAAAAUUGAAAAUUCUGCCCAGCAGCAUCCUGUGUCCUGGUUUCUCAGGGAAUAUUUGGAUAGAUUAGCAUCUUCUUAACCUCAGUAUUUUAAUCUCAUGUUUUCACAUUCAAAUGCUUCUCAGCAAAUAUUUGGGUUUCCAUGAAAUGAUCUAUUAUUUCAGAGAGAAUUACUUAAUUAAUUAUUUGUUUGAAAUGCACUGGGAAAACGACAUGGUUCAGCUCCCGAGGGAAUCAUCACCCUGGGUUCUAACUGUGGCCUGAGAAAGUGGCAAAUUCUCGUCCAAUGAGCUCCUGAGUUUUAAUGUAACACUUGCUAAGCUUUGAACAGUGAAAUCAACAUGUAUUCAGGGCAUCAGAAGUGAACAUUUAAGAGUCAGAGAUCAGACGACCAGACGGAGGUGGAACGAGGAACAACACCAACACGUCUGAGGUGAGUUCUCUUCUGGAAAAAAGAUCAAUUUGAUCCAAGUUCUGGGGGAGAAAACUAUUUUAUUUCACCUAUCACAGGUGUUAUUGACAAGUUAUACAAACAUCAUUCACACACA
rnacentral:lncRNA from 1 species